rnacentral:ncRNA from 1 species
CAAAGGCUUGGUCCUGACUUUGCUGUCAACUCUAGCUGAACUUACACAUGCAAGUCUCCGCACCCCUGUGAGAAUGCCCAUAACUCCUCACCCAGGAGUAAGGAGCAGGUAUCAGGCACGCCCAGACGGCAGCCCACAACACCUUGUUAAGCCACACCCCCAAGGGUCCACAGCAGUGAUCAAUAUUAAGCACAUGAGUGAAAACUUGACUUAGUUAAAGCUUAGAGGGCCGGUAAAACUCGUGCCAGCCACCGCGGUUAUACGAGAGGCCCAAGCUGACAGCCAUCGGCGUAAAGCGUGGUUAAAAUAAUAAAAGAAUAAAGCCGAAUGCUUCCUCAACUGUUAUACGUUCUCGGAAGCGAGAAGAUCCUUAACGAAAGUAGCUUUAAUACUAUUGAACCCACGAAAGCUAAGACACAAACUGGGAUUAGAUACCCCACUAUGCUCAGCCCUAAACUCCAAUAACUUUCUUACAAGAAAUAUGCGCCAGGGAACUACAAGCAUUAGCUUAAAACCCAAAGGACUUGGCGGUGCUUAAUAACCCCCUAGAGGAGCCUGUUCUAGAACCGAUAACCCUCGUUAAACCUCACCCCUCCUUGUUCAUCCCGCCUAUAUACCGCCGUCGUCAGCUUACCCUGUGAAGGUAAUAAAGUAAGCACAAUCAGUACAACCCAAAACGUCAGGUCGAGGUGUAGCAUAUGAAGGGGGAAGAAAUGGGCUACAUUUCCUGCUUACAGGAUAUUACGAAUUGUGUGCUGAAAUACACACUAUGAAGGAGGAUUUAGUAGUAAGUAAGAAGCAGAGUGUCUUACUGAAACCGGCCCUUAAGCGCGCACACACCGCCCGUCAUUCUCCCCGAACCAAACACAUUCUUAACUUAAAGCUCAUAUACGGGUAAAGGGGAGGCAAGUCGUAACAUGGUAAGUGUACCGGAAGGUGUACUUGGAAAAAC